AACUUUGUUAAACUUUGUUGAUUUGUUGAAAGUAAAAUAAAAAUUACGCUUCGAUAAUAAUGCUGUAAAAUUCACAUUCACAAGCCGUAUUGCAGAUUUUUGACUCAAUGCUGAUCAUGACCAACAACGGUACGGCCCACGGCUGAAUAUCAGCACCCACCUGCAUCCCUCCCGGCAGUACAUCUGCUUGCGCUCGUGCACGCAGGUCUCCAUGUGGAUGUACUGCUCGAACGGGUACAUGUUGAGCAGCGCCAGCACCUCGCCGCGCGUGCUGUUGGCCCAGAACGGGGCCGCCAUCUCUUCUUUAGACUCGCAUGCGUUGCUGGAAGGAGAAUGGAAGAGUUGGCGCGGCAGUUGUGCUCCACCAUGGAGAUGCGGUCGUACAGCGCCACGUGCUCCGGCUCCGUCAGCGGCACCUCGUGCGCGUUGAUCUGGAACGAAUGGGAGAUUCAUUCAGAGCUGCCUUGGUCCAAGAGAGAACCACCACUAUAGACCAGAAAUAUAUUAUUACAUAAUUUAUUUUGCUUUGUAUUUAAGUUUAUUUAUAUUUGGAAAUAGAUGGAAAUAUUUAUUGGUGUAUGCAUUUUUAUAAUCUGGUCCAGAUGAGUUUUUGAAUGUUAAAUAAAUGGUAAUUAUAGCUUUCAUGUAAGCAUACAUAUAAUUAUUUUACUUCUAUAAUGAAAUAAUUUAUUCCUAUUAUUUAGGUGCCUAAUUUUAAGAUUACAUUUAAAAUAAAAUUUCAAAUACAAUUGUUCCU